rnacentral:rRNA from 1 species
UGGGGAAUAUUGGACAAUGGGCGCAAGCCUGAUCCAGCCAUGCCGCGUGAGUGACGAAGGCCUUAGGGUUGUAAAGCUCUUUUGGCGGGGAAGAUAAUGACGGUACCCGCAGAAUAAGCUCCGGCUAACUUCGUGCCAGCAGCCGCGGUAAUACGAAGGGAGCUAGCGUUGUUCGGAAUCACUGGGCGUAAAGCGCACGUAGGCGGAUGUGUCAGUCAGGGGUGAAAUCCCGGAGCUCAACUUCGGAACUGCCCUUGAUACAGCACGUCUUGAGUCCGGAAGAGGUGGGUGGAAUUCCUAGUGUAGAGGUGAAAUUCGUAGAUAUUAGGAAGAACACCGGUGGCGAAGGCGGCCCACUGGUCCGGUACUGACGCUGAGGUGCGAAAGCGUGGGGAGCAAACA